GACGAUGCGUAGCCGACCUGAGAGGGUGAUCGGCCACACUGGGACUGAGACACGGCCCAGACUCCUACGGGAGGCAGCAGUAGGGAAUCUUCCGCAAUGGACGAAAGUCUGACGGAGCAACGCCGCGUGAGUGAUGAAGGCUUUCGGGUCGUAAAACUCUGUUGUUAGGGAAGAACAAGUGCUAGUUGAAUAAGCUGGCACCUUGACGGUACCUAACCAGAAAGCCACGGCUAACUACGUGCCAGCAGCCGCGGUAAUACGUAGGUGGCAAGCGUUAUCCGGAAUUAUUGGGCGUAAAGCGCGCGCAGGUGGUUUCUUAAGUCUGAUGUGAAAGCCCACGGCUCAACCGUGGAGGGUCAUUGGAAACUGGGAGACUUGAGUGAAGAGGAAAGUGGAAUUCCAUGUGUUGUAGCGGUGAAAUGCGUAGAGAUAUGGAGGAACACCAGUGGCGAAGGCGACUUGGUCUGUAACUGACACUGAGGCGCGAA
rnacentral:rRNA from 1 species